GUUUUCACUAGCGAUUAUAUGACUGUGUGGAUGAUUGACAUUCCCAAAUCUUAUGUGGAUGUGGGCAUGCUCACACGAGCAACUUUCCUGGAGCAGUGGCCGGGUGCCAAAGUGACUGUCAUGAUUCCCUACUCCUCCACCUUUACCUGGUGUGGAGAGCUUGGCGCCAUCUCUGAAGAAUCUGCCCCACAACCAAGUUUGAGUGCCAGAUCCCCGGUCUGUAAGAACAGUGCCAGAUAUUCUACCUCAAAAUUUUGCGAGGUAGAUGGAUGCACAGCUGAAACUGGCAUGGAAAAGAUGUCUCUGCUCACUCCAUUUGGAGGCCCACCUCAACAGGCUAAGAUGAACACUUGCCCAUGCUACUACAAGUACAGCGUGAGCCCACUGCCUGCCAUGGACCACUUGAUCCUAGCUGACCUAGCUGGCCUGGAUUCUCUCACUUCACCUGUUUAUGUGAUGGCAGCAUAUUUUGAUUCUACACAUGAAAAUCCUGUGAGACCAUCCAGCAAGCUUUAUCAUUGUGCUCUACAGAUGACAAGUCAUGAUGGGGUGUGGACUUCAACUUCCAGUGAGCAGUGUCCCAUUAGACUGGUUGAGGGCCAGUCUCAAAAUGUGCUGCAGGUCCGGGUGGCUCCGACAUCGAUGCCUAACCUGGUUGGGGUCAGCUUGAUGUUGGAGGGGCAACAGUACAGGCUGGAGUAUUUUGGGGAUCAUUGAUACUCAGUAACUUAAGAGGAAAUUUUUUUGUUAAAAAUAAAGUUAUUUUUAAAAAA
rnacentral:tmRNA from 1 species